UUAGAGGAAGUAAAAGUCGUAACAAGGUCUCCGUUGGUGAACCAGCGGAGGGAUCAUUACCGAGUUUACAACUCCCAAACCCCUGUGAACAUACCAAUUGUUGCCUCGGCGGAUCAGCCCGCUCCCGGUAAAACGGGACGGCCCGCCAGAGGACCCCUAAACUCUGUUUCUAUAUGUAACUUCUGAGUAAAACCAUAAAUAAAUCAAAACUUUCAACAACGGAUCUCUUGGUUCUGGCAUCGAUGAAGAACGCAGCAAAAUGCGAUAAGUAAUGUGAAUUGCAGAAUUCAGUGAAUCAUCGAAUCUUUGAACGCACAUUGCGCCCGCCAGUAUUCUGGCGGGCAUGCCUGUUCGAGCGUCAUUUCAACCCUCAAGCCCAGCUUGGUGUUGGGACUCGCGGUAACCCGCGUUCCCCAAAUUGAUUGGCGGUCACGUCGAGCUUCCAUAGCGUAGUAGUAAAACCCUCGUUACUGGUAAUCGUCGCGGCCACGCCGUUAAACCCCAACUUCUGAAUGUUGACCUCGGAUCAGGUAGGAAUACCCGCUGAACUUAAGCAUAUCAAUAAG
rnacentral:rRNA from 1 species